GGACCGGUGGCGUAGUGGUUAUCGCAUUCGUCUUACACACGAAAGGUCCCAAGUUCGAUCCUUGGUCGGUUCA